UACGAAGGGGGCUAGCGUUGCUCGGAAUGACUGGGCGUAAAGGGCGCGUAGGCGGAUUGCACAGUCGGGCGUGAAAUUCCUGGGCUUAACCUGGGGGCUGCGUUCGAGACGUGUGGUCUGGAGUGCGGAAGAGGGUCGUGGAAUUCCCAGUGUAGAGGUGAAAUUCGUAGAUAUUCGGAGGAACACCAGUGGCGAAGGCGGCUCACUGGCUCGACACUGACGCUGAGGUGCGAAAGCGUGGGGAGCAAACAGG
rnacentral:rRNA from 1 species